rnacentral:rRNA from 1 species
UCAGGCCUAACACAUGCAAGUCGAGGGGUAGAACAUUUCGGUGUUUGAGACCGGCGCACGGGUGCGUAACGCGUAUGCAACCUACCUUUUACAGGGGAAUAGCCCAGAGAAAUUUGGAUUAAUGCCCCAUGGUAUAUUUAGAUGGCAUCAUCUGAUUAUUAAAGUUCCAACGGUAAAAGAUGGGCAUGCGUCCUAUUAGCUAGAUGGUAAGGUAACGGCUUACCAUGGCAACGAUAGGUAGGGGUCCUGAGAGGGAGAUCCCCCACACUGGUACUGAGACACGGACCAGACUCCUACGGGAGGCAGCAGUGAGGAAUAUUGGACAAUGGGCGCAAGCCUGAUCCAGCCAUGCCGCGUGCAGGAAGAAGCAUCUAUGGUGGUAAAGUGCUUUUGUACGGGAAGAAACACUCCUACGGUAGGAGCUGAC